rnacentral:tRNA from 2 species
GCGGGGGUACCCUAGUUGGCCAAUGGGGCAGGGCUUAGGACCCUGUGGCUUAGUGCCUUCACGGGUUCGAAUCCCGUCCCCCGCA